AGGAGCACGGACAGCGAGGGCCUGGGAAACGCGUGGAACACACGUCCCGGCUCGUUUUCCUCUCCCACUCUGAUAACCUGUGUUUCGAUACGAAACGGGCCCUGCCUCAUUAUUUGUCAUCUCCCUGGAGGUGACGGAGGGCUGUUUCAACCUCAGGGGAAAAGUUGCUGUACAGAACACAGGCCAGAGUGUGCCCCAAAGAAAUCAGGCGGUGGAGUGAUUUAAAAGUGAUCAUUUUCUGUAGUCCUAGCUACUCGGGAGGCUGAGGCAGGAAAAUCGCUUGAACCCGGGAGAAGAAGGAUGCAGUGAGCAGAGAUCGUGCCAUUGCACUUCAGCCUGGCGACAGAGCAAGACUCCGUCUCAAAAAGAAAAAAAAAAAGUGAUCAUUUUCAUGACUUGGACUAGGAAGAUCAACUGGGCACGGUGAUUCUUGCACAGAUUUUUAUAAGGAUCCUCCAAGUGUAACAACCAUUUGGAAAACUCCGGGCCUUGAGGACAGCCAGAGAAGAUAAGUUCAACUUGCACUUUGCCAGAGCAGGGGAUCUCCCUCAGCUCCCUGCCUUCAAACCUACCUUACAGACCUGCCUGGCCUGCACCUGAGCCACCCUCUUCUUCCUUCCUAUUCCCACUAAGGAGGUGUCCCUGCUUCCUUCAUAGUGGGUCCUUCCCCUGCACCGGGAAACAGGCCCUAGAGAUGACUCCAUGGGGUGAAGGACCAGAGCCUCCUUGCCUCUCUCUCUGUCUCUCUCUCCCUCUCUUGUCUUCCCAUGAAGCUCUGAUGUUUCCAGUACAAAAUAAACCUCGCUCAGUCCCAGUCCUUCUCCAGUUCCUCCCCUCACAAGCAUGGCCCCCCACUGCUGGCUUUCCUUCCCCACCUUCCACCCUCUCCUUGGCCUUCUCCACUCUGGCUUCAGUGGCCUCCGAUGGCUACACUCAGAGCCUGGGUGCACUGUCCUUUGGAAGCUUCCCUCUGGGGCCGCCUGUCAGCCUCCUCUGAAGACUCACACUCCUCGCUCUCAGACCUUUGGGUGCUGGAGGACUUCGAGGUUUGGCCUGGCUCUCCACUUCUUCCUCUCCUUUCCUCUGAGAUCUGCCUUCUUCCUUCCCUCCCUGCUUCCUUUCUUCAAGCAUAUCUACUGCAUGGAUGCCUUCUAUGUACUAAGCUAGGCAAAUGAAAGUGACAAAUGAAAAUGUGAAGUGCCUACAGGCUAAAAGAAGGAUACAGAGCAAAUAACAUAAUUACAAACUGCAGUGGGUGCUCCUAAGGGAAAGAUCAGGAUGGGUGAACGAGAGUGGGAGGGAAGACCAGACUGGGUGCGCUUGGAGGAAGCAUCUUAUGGGAAGGGCCGUUUGAGCUGAGCCUUCAGGGUCAAGGGGUGCCAGCCCCCAGGGAGCUGGGGAAAGGGCACUUCUGGCAGAGGAGAGAAAGGACUCAUCCAGGGCCUUCGUGGAACAGAAAGAGGGGCAGUGGGCUGGCAUGCACAGGCUCGCUUCAGGUGCAGUAAGACCUGUCACCUCCAGGAGGGCAAGACAUCAUCUGUGGUGCUCAUCGUUGUGUCCCACUUCAUGGAAUAGUGCUGGGAAUAUGGUACACACUCAAGAAAUAUUUGGACAGCUACAGUGGCUCACACCUGUAAUCCCAGCACUCUGGGAGGCUGAGGUGGGUGGAUCACUUGAGCCCAGGAGUUCGAGACCAGCCUGGGCAAUAUGGUGAAGCCUCGUCUCUACAGAAAAAUUUAAAAAUUAGCUGGGCAUGGUGGAACGUGCCUGUGGUCCCAGCUCUCAGGAGGCUGAGGUGGGAGGAUCACCUGAGCCCAGGGAGGUUGAGGCUGCGGUGAGCUCUGAUCAUGCUAUUAUUGCACUCCAGCCUGGGUGACAGAGUAAGAUCCUGUCUCAAAAAAAAAAAAAAAAAAGAAAAAGAAAAAGAAAAAAGAAAAAAAGAAGAAAAAGAAAUCUUUGUGGAUGGAUUAUGAAAGGUGUUAACUGACCCCAUCUGCUCCUUCUCAUACUUCCCACAUCAGAACCAUUGUGUGCCCCCUCCCGACCUUCCCAAGCCUCCAAACCAAAUGAGAGUCCCAUUGACCAGCCUAAAGGGUUGCACCCCUAGCACCAGCCAUACUUCCUGAGAAGGCAGAGAGUAGAAGAGAAAGAGGAUGUACUGGGCUAAGGGGCUGUUGGGCAUAGGAAGACUCCUCAACGAGAAAGGGUAGGAGACAGAGGCUUGGGCAUUACCCUUCCCAUCAAUUAAAA
rnacentral:lncRNA from 1 species